rnacentral:rRNA from 1 species
AGCGAACGCUGGCGGCAGGCUUAACACAUGCAAGUCGAGCGGGCACUUUCGGGUGUCAGCGGCGGACGGGUGAGUAACGCGUGGGAACGUGCCCUCUGGUUCGGAAUAACUCAGGGAAACUUGAGCUAAUACCGGAUACGCCCUUUUGGGGAAAGGCUUGCUGCCGGAGGAUCGGCCCGCGUCUGAUUAGCUAGUUGGUGAGGUAACGGCUCACCAAGGCGACGAUCAGUAGCUGGUCUGAGAGGAUGAUCAGCCACACUGGGACUGAGACACGGCCCAGACUCCUACGGGAAGCAGCAGUGGGGAAUAUUGGACAAUGGGCGCAAGCCUGAUCCAGCCAUGCCGCGUGAGUGAUGAAGGCCUUAGAGUUGUAAAGCUCUUUUAUCCGGGACGAUAAUGACGGUACCGGAGGAAUAAGCCCCGGCUAACUUCGUG